rnacentral:misc_RNA from 1 species
UACUGGAGCUGAUCGCAGCAUC